rnacentral:misc_RNA from 1 species
GAUGAAGAACGCAGCGAAAUGCGAUACUUGGUGUGAAUUGCAGAAUCCCGUGAACCAUCGAGUCUUUGAACGCAAGUUGCGCCCGAAGCCACUAGGCCGAGGACACGCCUGCCUGGGCGUCACACGUCGUUGCCCCCCCAUCUACUCCUUCGGGAUUGCGGGGGGGCGGAUGAUGGCCUCCCGUGCGCCUAGCCGCGCGGUUGGCAUAAAUACCAAGUCCUCGGCGACGCACGCCACGACAAUCGGUGGUUGCGAAACCUCGGUUGCCCGUCGUGUGCGUUCGUCGCGCAUCGAGGGCUCGAAAAAAUGCUCGGCUCCGGCUGGGCUUUCAACGCGACCCCAGGUCAGGCGGGGUUACCCGCUGAAUUUAAGCAUAUCAAUAAGCGGGAGGA